UUACAACCAUUUACAAUGCUACAACUGUUACCAUAGUAACAAUCUGCCAUAAAACUGGUAACUACGUUACUCUGGCGGAAACCAUGGUUACCAUGGGAAUUUUCUGUAGGAGAAAUAACGUGUUUCGAGACGAAAUAUGGACCAAACAGCUAAUACAAAUGCAAAGAGCGGAUCAGAAAGAAAAGCUUAAAGAUUUAAGGAAAGACAAAGUCACCCAUUGUAAAACUUUUUAUCACCUGUGAGCUGUAAAAUAUCAGUAAAUGACUUUUCUUGUGCCAUGGGAGACACACCUGCUUGGCUAAAUAAUAGAUGGGGGCUGCAACAGAAACUGAGACUCAUUGUCUCCAAGGUAGCCAUCUGAAUGCAUCACCUGAUCUGACCAGGACUCCUUUGCAAAGACCUUGUUUUAGAUUAGGUGACACCAUGUGGACGCUUUUGGACAUUACAGACCUACUAUUAUUGUACUAUAAUCAUGCAUGCAGAUCAGCAAAUAAUGUAAAAUCC